GGACCCGCACAAGCAGUGGAGCAUGUGGUUUAAUUCGAAGCAACGCGAAGAACCUUACCAGGUCUUGACAUCCUUUGACCACCCAAGAGAUUGGGCUUCCCCUUCGGGGGCAAAGUGACAGGUGGUGCAUGGUUGUCGUCAGCUCGUGUCGUGAGAUGUUGGGUUAAGUCCCGCAACGAGCGCAACCCUUGAUCUUAGUUGCCAGCAUUAAGUUGGGCACUCUAAGGUGACUGCCGGUGACAAACCGGAGGAAGGUGGGGAUGACGUCAAAUCAUCAUGCCCCUUAUGACCUGGGCUACACACGUGCUACAAUGGAUGGUACAAAGGGCAGCGAAACCGCGAGGUGAAGCCAAUCCCAUAAAGCCAUUCUCAGUUCGGAUUGCAGGCUGCAACUCGCCUGCAUGAAGCCGGAAUUGCUAGUAAUCGCGGAUCAGCAUGCCGCGGUGAAUACGUUCCCGGGUCUU
rnacentral:rRNA from 1 species